rnacentral:tRNA from 1 species
GGCCUAUUAGCUCAGUGGUUAGAGCGGCAUUCUUAUAAGAUGUGCGGCCGGGUUCAAUUCCCGGAUAGGCCA